ACGUAGGGUGCAAGCGUUGUCCGGAAUUAUUGGGCGUAAAGAGCUCGUAGGCGGCUUGUCGCGUCUGCCGUGAAAACCCGAGGCUCAACCUCGGGCGUGCGGUGGGGACGGGCAGGCUAGAGUGCGGUAGGGGAGAGUGGAAUUCCUGGUGUAGCGGUGAAAUGCGUAGAUAUCACGCAGAACACCGAUGGCGAAGGCAGAUCACUGGGAUGUAACUGACUCUGAGGCGCGAAAGCGUGGGGAGCGAACAG
rnacentral:rRNA from 1 species